CACCACCACCCAUGGAAUCGAGAAAGAGCUAUCAAUCUGUCAAUCCUGUCCGUGUCCCGGCCGGGUGAGGUUUCCCGUGUUGGUGCAUGACCGUUCUUAGUUGGUGGAGUGAUUUGUCUGGUUAAUUCCGAUAAUGAAGGAGACUAUGGCAUGCUAACUAGUUAUACGACCCCGGAGCGGUUGGUGUCCCCCAACUUCUUAGAGGGACAAGUGGCGUUCAGCCACCUGAGAUUGAGCAGUAACAGGUCCGUGAUGCCCUUAGAUGUCCGGGGCUGCACGCACGCUACACUGCCUGGCUCAGCAUGUGCCUGUCCUACGUGGGCAGGUGUGGGUAACCCGUUGAACCCCAUUCGUGAUGGGGAUUGGGGAUUGCAAUUAUUCACCAUCAAUGCGGAAUUCCCAGUAAGUGCGGGUCAUAACCUUGCGUUGAUUAAGUCCCUG
rnacentral:ncRNA from 1 species